rnacentral:misc_RNA from 1 species
CAUGAAAUUUGGACUUCGUAAUACUUCCUAUGUCUACCCUAACGGCUCGGGUGAUAUUUGGACAGAUGUCAAGACCCACAUCCAAUGCGCUGAACGAGACGGGUUCGACUCGUUCUGGGUAAUGGAUCACUUCUACCAGCUUCCGGUGCAUGGCUCAGAGGAGGAACCUUUCCUCGACGCGUGGACAGUCCUCCCAGCGUUGGCAGCAGUGACGAGUCACAUUCGGCUUGGGGCCAUGGUCAGCUCGG